AUGUAUUUGUCUUACCUUUUUCCCCCCAGUAAAAGACACUGUAGCGUUUGCUGCCCAGUGACUUCAGUUGUUAAAGCCUGUGUGGUAACAAGCCUGAGCUUUCCAGCUGGAGUCCCCGUGUUGGUGUUGCUGGAGCUAGAGUGUGUCAAUAACAGCCGAAGCGCCCUUCCUGGGAGAUCUUACAGCCUGGUGGUUACGUUGUUCUGGGAGAUGGCAGAGGGUGGAUUCGUACGUCUUCAGGCAGAGGGAACUGGAUUGUGCUCUCCUACUUUCUGGGUGAGUAAACAAACUCUUAAGCUACUGCAAUAAAACACAUAGUGUCACCAGUUUGGUGACUCCAGUUCCCUGGUGUAUUUUUCCAACUGAGACAGGUGAAUUUGACCCCAAUUCAGCAUUUCUGGAAUGCCUAAAGUUUGGUAAUUUUGGCUGACUUACUACCAGAGAACCCCAAAGUUCCUGUUCCUUGCUACAGCCUUUCCAGAACAAGAAGGAUAUAUUUAUUUUCUGAAGAUUUCUGUAGGCAUUUAAAUAGAUCCAGCAAAGAAGAGAGAGGAAAAUCGGUUAUCCAGGCGAUCUGGGCUGGAAACAGGUGAUCUUUUCCUUUUGGUGGGUAACUGGAAACAUCCACUUAGUGCUGAAACUGCUAUAACCUGACGUAGGGACAUCCUUUGUGAUCCUGGCCGAGCUUGGUUCUCUGCCAUAACUUGUUUAUCAUCUUCCUCUAAACUCUUCCCAAGUCCAGACGCUGUUGUCUUCAUUGUGUACAUACAUCUUCCUCUAAACUCUUCCCAAGUCCAGAUGCUGUUGUCUUCAUUGUGUACAUAUCGUCAUUUAUAAAAAAAACCAACAAAAACAAAUACAAAACCAACCCAAACCCUACUUAGAGUCUUAUUUUCCUCAUUCCUGAAACCUCCCAACCCGGUUGACUUGUUGGAGUGCAUUUCAUGCAUUCUUAGCAGAUGGGCUGAAGGGAACGCCUAGUUCACCGGCAGCCAGAGGCUAGAAAGCAGGGAGGGAGUUCAUGAACGCUGCUUGUCCUCUCCUGCAGUCGCUGCAGAGCACACGGGGAGGAGGAGGAGGAGGGAAGGAUCCCGAGCUGCUGGACACAGCAUGACCACGGAGGAUCUCGCUGGCGUGACACCACUCGUGACAGUGAGUUAAGGUAGGGGAAUUCCGUGAUAAUUUCAACCUUUGCUAACUGCCUUGCUGAAACGUUCCCUGAUUUGAAAGAUACUUGUUGAAGGAGAACGCCUGCUUGUUAAGUCAUUGCCUAAUACCUGGGAAGUGGAAAAAUUUUAAUUUUUAUUUAUUUUUAUUUCCUUUCUUUGGGCUGCAUAAAAUAAGAGAACAGAGUUCCCUGCCUGAUGCUGCAGUGAUGGGAAAUUAAUACUACUAGCAAGGCUGGGGAAUGUGAAAAAUGUUGUAAAGUAUUGUCUCUUGUGGUGAGCCCUCACCAACCGUGUCUCCUACGCCUGCGUUGACCACUCAUCCGUCCUUGUCCACCUGAAGGACAAAUCACUUAGGCAAUUACUUGCAUUAUUUUGCCAUAAUUAACCCGUUGUGAGAGUAGCGUGAGGCGAGCUGAGUCCUUUUCAUCCCAAGCUCCACUUCUACUAUAUUUUGGCAAGAGCUUGUGGCAGACACAAAUUGGGAGGAUUUCUCCCUUUUUUUUUUUUUUUUUUUUUUUUUUGCAGACUUCCUGCUGGAAGAUGGAAGAGUGGGAAGUUCAGGUAAUGAAGACCACAGUCCUCCAAAAUUUAAGUCCUGACUCUUGGGACAUGAGGUUCCUCACGUGCAUAAGAUCACAGAGAGGACUGAGAUGUAACCUGGUUAUAUCCAACCUUCUUAUGGCCACUUGUUGGAAAGCACAAGAGAUUUUUUAAGGGAAAUGAGAAAAAAAGUAGAUAAAUGACUGUUCUUUGUUUAAAAUAACAUGGUAUUUUUCUAGCAUCUUAACUACUGUGGUCACAGUUCACACAAGACCAAUAAAGGGUGCUAAAGGAGCUUACA
rnacentral:lncRNA from 1 species